GCUUGAGUGGUUCAGUUGGUUAAGCAUCUGCCUUCAGCUCAGGUCAUGAUUUCAGUGUCGUGGGAUCAAAUCCCACAUCAGGCU
rnacentral:tRNA from 1 species